rnacentral:tRNA from 1 species
AAGGGAGACCUAAUUCAGGUAUGGGACGAAAAAAAAGUAGUCGCUACCAAGAAUCAAUCCCAAAAGGUCGGAGCGAGGCGAAAUUGGCUUUCAAACUAGGUUCUGGGUUCAAACAAGACCUGAAUCAGGAACAAGGGCUAUUAGCUCAGGUGGUUAGAGCGCACCCCUGAUAAGGGUGAGGUCCCUGGUUCGAGUCCAGGAUGGCCCACCUGCACAGGUGGCAAAAACAAAGAAGCGAGGAAUCAGCACCUUAUCUUAUAUACAUAUAUAAGAGAGAAUGCUGGCUCUGAGUACAGAGUCCAGAGGAACCUUGAAAACUGCAUAGAGCUAGGUGAAAAAGCCAAAAAAGAAGACCGCAAGGUCAAGCUAAUAAGGGCUAACGGUGGAUACCUAGGCAC